rnacentral:lncRNA from 1 species
UGAGUGUUUUAGUAUCACAGGUGUGAUCUGUACAGUGGAUCGUUGAGUGUGUUUUAGUGUCACAGGUGUGAUCUGUAUGGUGGAUCAGAGUGUGUUUUAGUGUCACAGGUGUGAUCUGUAUGGUGGAUCGUUGAGUGUGUUUUAGUGUCACAGGUGUGAUCUGUAUGGUGGAUCAUUGAGUGUUUUAGUAUCACAGGUGUGGUCUGUAUGUGAAUUGUUCAAUGUGUUUUAGUGUCACAGGUGCGAGCUGUACAGUGGAUUGCUGAGUGUUUUAGUGUCACAGGUGUGAUCUGUACAGUGGAUAGUUGAGUGUGUUUUAAUGUCACAGGUGUGAUCUGUAUGGUGGAUCGUUGAGUGUGUUUUAGUGUCACAGGUGUGAUCUGUAUGGUGGAUCGUUGAGUGUGUUUUAG